rnacentral:rRNA from 1 species
UACGGAGGGGGCUAGCGUUGUUCGGAAUUACUGGGCGUAAAGCGCGCGUAGGCGGGUUGGUAAGUCCGCUGUGAAAGCCCGGAGCUUAACUCCGGAGGGUCGGUGGAUACUGCCAGUCUUGAAGGUGCUAGGGGGAGAUGGAAUUACCGGUGUAGCGGUGAAAUGCGUAGAUAUCGGUAGGAACACCAGUGGCGAAGGCGGUCUCCUGGGGCAUUCUUGACGCUGAGGCGCGAAAGCUGGGGGAGCGAACGGG